rnacentral:rRNA from 1 species
AUUGAACGCUGGCGGCAGGCCUAACACAUGCAAGUCGAGCGGAUGAAGGGAGCUUGCUCCUGGCUUCAGCUGCGGACGGGUGAGUAAUGCCUAGGAAUCUGCCUUGUAGUGGGGGAUAACGUCCGGAAACGGGCGCUAAUACCGCAUCCGUCCUGAUGGUGAAAGUGGGGGAUCUUCGGACCUCACGCUAUUAAAUGAGCCUAGGUCGGAUUAGCUAGUUGGUGGGGUAAGGGCCUACCAAGGCGACGAUCCGUAACUGGUCUGAGAGGAUGAUCAGUCACACUGGAACUGAGACACGGUCCAGACUCCUACGGGAGGCAGCAGUGGGGAAUAUUGGACAAUGGGCGAAAGCCUGAUCCAGCCAUGCCGCGUGUGUGAAGAAGGUCUUCGGAUUGUAAAGCACUUUAAGUUGGGAGGAAGGGCAGUAAGUUAAUACCUUGCUGUUUUGACGUUACCAAAAGAAUAAGCACCGGCUAACUUCGUG